AUUCCCAGGGAUUGAUGGAGAAGUUAGGAAAAAUCAUUCAUGCAGCAAGGCAAGUUGGUGGAGAAGGAUUUACCAAUAUGCUUGGUGAAAAAAAUGGAAAUACAUGUUGAAGGUCAUUGAGAAAUGCUCACAAAUGAGGAAUUGUAAGAACAUGUAGAAUCACCUACAGAGGAAGAGGAUGAAGACAAGAAACUGAAGCAGAACCAGAAAUAUGGACAUCACCAAAAUUUACCAAAGUGUUUCAAAUUGCACAGGCAUCAAACGGUGAGCUUAUGGAAUACAAUCCUUGGGUGAAACACAACAUUAAAGUCACCUACAUGAUCAUGGAAGGAUCACAACCUGUGCAGCCACCCUUGAUAGGUUAAAAAGAAAGAGACUACAACUUCCAAUUGCAAUGUUCUUAUGAAGGAUUCUUCAAAAAAUCCUUCCACUAUAGAGGAUUCCCAUUCACUGAAUCAUCUGCUUCUGACAUCCAGUCACAAAUAUUGCCAUGGCUUGGUGAUCCAGGAUUACCUGAGGCAGAGGAUCCUCCUUCCAACAAGUUGUCAGAAGGUCAGUAGGAGCCUAACACGGUGUCACUGUGUCAGUGUCACUGGCCUGGCUUCACCUCAUCAUGUAGCCAUUAUAUCAUCUGCAUAAUCACAGGAAGGAGGGUAAGCACAGUACAAUAAGAU
rnacentral:lncRNA from 1 species